GUGCCAGCCGCCGCGGUAAUACGUAGGUGGCAAGCGUUGUCCGGAUUUACUGGGCGUAAAGGGAGCGUAGGCGGAUACUUAAGUGGGAUGUGAAAUACCUGGGCUUAACUUGGGUGCUGCAUUCCAAACUGGGUGUCUAGAGUGUUGGAGAGGAAAGUGGAAUUCCUAGUGUAGCGGUGAAAUGCGUAGAGAUUAGGAAGAACACCAGUGGCGAAGGCGACUUUCUGGACAAUAACUGACGCUGAGGCUCGAAAGCGUGGGGAGCAAACAGGAUUAGAUACCCUAGUAGUCC
rnacentral:rRNA from 1 species